rnacentral:rRNA from 1 species
UACGUAGGCAGCAAGCGUUGUUCGGAGUUACUGGGCGUAAAGGGUGUGUAGGCGGUUGUUUAAGUUUGGUGUGAAAUCUCCCGGCUCAACUGGGAGGGUGCGCCGAAUACUGAAUGACUAGAGGACCGGAAGAGGUGGGUGGAAUACCCAGUGUAGAGGUGAAAUUCGUAGAUAUUGGGUGGAACACCGGUGGCGAAGGCGGCUCACUGGUCCGGUUCUGACGCUGAGGCGCGAAAGCGUGGGGAGCAAACAGG